ensembl:misc_RNA Metazoa_SRP Metazoan signal recognition particle RNA
UCUUGGAGAAUGGAAGUAGUCCCAGAUACUCAGGAGGCUGAGGCAGGAGAAUUGCUUGAGUUCAGGAGUUCUGAGCUAUACUGCGCUAUUUUGAUUGGGUGUCUGCACUAAGUUUGGCAUCAAUAUGGUGAUCUCCUGGGAGCAAGGGGCCACCAGUUUGCCUAAGGAGGGGUGAACCAGCCCAAGUCAGAAAUGGAGCAGGUCAAAACUCCUGUGAUGAUCAAUCCUGAGAUAGCACCUGUGAAUAGCCACAGCACUUGAGCCUGGGCAACAUAGCAAGACCCUAGUGCUU